rnacentral:misc_RNA from 1 species
GAAAUGCGAUAAGUAGUGUGAAUUGCAGAAUUCAGUGAAUCAUCGAAUCCUUGAACGCACAUUGCGCCCCUUGGUAUUCCAUGGGGCAUGCCUGUUCGAGCGUCAUUUGUACCCUCAAGCUCUGCUUGGUGUUGGGUGUUUGUCCCGUCUCCGCGCGUGGACUCGCCCCAAAGUGAUUGGCAGCCGGCGUACUGGUCCCGGAGCGCAGCACAUGUCGCGCAAACGAGUGCCUUGGUACGGCGGCGUCCAUAAGCCCCUCUCUCACGCUCUUGACCUCGGAUCAGGUAGGGAUACCCGCUGAACUUAAGC